UACGAAGGGGGCUAGCGUUGCUCGGAAUUACUGGGCGUAAAGGGCGCGUAGGCGGAUAGUUUAGUCAGAGGUGAAAGCCCAGGGCUCAACCUUGGAACUGCCUUUGAUACUGGCUAUCUUGAGUUCGGGAGAGGUGAGUGGAAUGCCGAGUGUAGAGGUGAAAUUCGUAGAUAUUCGGCGGAACACCAGUGGCGAAGGCGACCCACUGGCCCGAUACUGACGCUGAGGCGCGAAAGCGUGGGGAGCAAACAGG
rnacentral:rRNA from 1 species